rnacentral:rRNA from 2 species
AAUACCCGGUCCCAUCCCGAACCCGGAAGUCAAGCCCUUCAGCGCCGAUGGUACUGCAACCGAGAGGCUGUGGGAGAGUAGGACGCCGCCGGAC